rnacentral:lncRNA from 1 species
AUUAUGUGAAGAUGAGGCACAUCUGAAACCAAGUUCACCUUAUCUGUGGCUCCCUGCUCCAUGGGAGUAAAAUACAUAAAGGAGGAAUUCUUUGAUUCAGAAGGGCAGCUAUUUUCUUUUAUGGCCUCAUUGCUCUUGUAACUUCUUGAACUUUUCCUCUGUACACAGGAGAUGGAGAUUUGUUAUUUUAUUAUUAAGUGCUCUAACUCUGUCUUCUUGGCAUUCAGCCAUAAAGCUCAAAUCUCUACACUUGAAGAACAGAAUUUAGGCCAGAAGAAAUAGAUCUUGCCCUAGCUUUUCCAUUAGAUAUAUAACUAAGUGACCUCGAAUAAACUCCUUAACCUCUCUAUGUCUUACUUUCUUACUUUGUAAGAUGAAGUAGGUAGAAUAGAUGAGCUUGAACAUUUUGUCCAUCACUGACAAUGUCUCCACAUUUCUCCUGUUCAAUCUGGGCUGAGAGAGGUUAAAUCUUAUUGUGCAUCACUAGUCAUUAAUACCGAACAUUAUCAUAAUAGUUUUCUUUCAUUGAGCAUGGACUGCACAUAGAGGCACCAAAGGCACUGCUAAUAUUAUCUGCACUUCUUUAUCCAUUGAGAAUGGAAGGCCUUUAAGGUCAUCAAUGAGAUGGGAUC